AGGUGCAAUCAUACCACUGUUAAUGCACCGGAUCCCAUCAAAAAUCCGCAGUUAAGAGUGCUUAGGCUUGAGUAGUACUGGGACUGGUGACCUCCCAUGAAGUCCUAGUGUUGCACCCU
rnacentral:rRNA from 1 species